rnacentral:rRNA from 1 species
AAGGAAGUCGACUAGCCGUUGGGGUCCUCGAGACCUUUGUGGCGCAGUUAACGCACUAAGUCGACCGCCUGGGGAGUACGGCCGCAAGGUUAAAACUCAAAUGAAUUGACGGGGGCCCGCACAAGCGGUGGAGCAUGUGGUUUAAUUCGAUGCAACGCGAAGAACCUUACCUACCCUUGACAUCGUGCGAACUUUCCAGAGAUGGAUUGGUGCCUUCGGGAGCGCACAGACAGGUGCUGCAUGGCUGUCGUCAGCUCGUGUUGUGAAAUGUUGGGUUAAGUCCCGUAACGAGCGCAACCCUUGUCCCUAUUUGCCAGCGAUUCGGUCGGGAACUCUAGGGAGACUGCCGGUGACAAACCGGAGGAAGGUGGGGACGACGUCAAGUCAUCAUGGCCCUUACGGGUAGGGCUACACACGUGCUACAAUGGCCGGUACAAUGGGUUGCAAAGCGGCGACGUGGAGCUAAUCUCAUAAAGCCGGUCUCAGUCCGGAUCGGAGUCUGCAACUCGACUCCGUGAAGUCGGAAUCGCUAGUAAUCGUGCAUCAGAAUGGCACGGUGAAUACGUUCCCGGGCCUUGUACACACCGCCCGUCACACCAUGGGAGUGGACUGCACCAGAAGUGGUUAGCCUAACUUCGGAGGGCGAUCACCACGGUGUGGUUCAUGACUGGGGUGAAGUCUAAAAGGGGGGAACAAAAACGGUUGGGGGGG